AUAAUUAGAAGUUUCUACCAGUGCAAUUUAUUGGCUUGAUUGCUUCUAGGGUACUAGGAUUUUCUGAGGUCCAUUUUUUUAAAAAAAAUAUAUGGAUGUGGGUUAUCUUGAUACUAAAUGGUAUAUACUAAAUUUUGUGAACUUGUAUAAUUAUUAAUAUUUAUGUCAUAGUAAGGUUUUCUAGUUAAAACUAGAUUUUAAGUCAGAUUUUUCAAUACUUGCUUCAGUACUUUUAAUUUGUUUUUGUCUCUCUUCAUAGUUUGAUGCUGCAAAAUUAAGAAAACUAAGACCAAGUUUCAAGUAGAACGAGGGCUUUGUUACUGCUGGCAAUGCUUCAAUCAUAAGUGAUGGUGCAGCUGCAUUAGUCCUAGUGAGUGGAGAGAAGGCACUUCAACUUGGAUUGCAAGUAAUUGCAAAGAUUAAGGGCUAUGCUGAUGCAGCUCAGGCACCUGAAUUCUUUACAACUGCUCCAGCCCUUGUGAUAGCAAAAGCUAUUUCAAAUGCUAGUUUAGAUGCUUCUCAGAUUGAUUACUAUGAAAUAAAUGAAGCAUUUUCUGUUGUAGCUCUAGCCAAUCAAAAGCUGCUUGGUCUUAAUCCUAAAGCCUUAACGUACAUGGUGGGGCUGUAUCAUUGGGACACCCAUUAGGAUGCAGUGGAGCUCGUAUCUUGGUCACAUUGUUAGGGGUAUUGAGACAUAAAAAGGGAAAGUACGGGGUUGGUGCCAUAUAA